AGCUCGACGGGAUCGACCGCACGCGUGACCACCAAAUAGUCGCGCAGCGCGAUACUGUGCCGGUUCUC
rnacentral:sRNA from 1 species